rnacentral:rRNA from 1 species
AGAGUUUGAUCCUGGCUCAGAUUGAACGCUGGCGGCAUGCUUUACACAUGCAAGUCGAACGGUAACGCGGGGGCAACCCUGGCGACGAGUGGCGAACGGGUGAGUAAUACAUCGGAACAUGUCCUGGAGUGGGGGAUAGCUCGGCGAAAGCCGGAUUAAUACCGCAUACGCUCUGAGGAGGAAAGCGGGGGACCUUCGGGCCUCGCGCUGCGGGAGUGGCCGAUGUCGGAUUAGCUAGUUGGUGAGGUAAAGGCUCACCAAGGCGACGAUCCGUAGCUGGUCUGAGAGGAUGAUCAGCCACACUGGGACUGAGACACGGCCCAGACUCCUACGGGAGGCAGCAGUGGGGAAUUUUGGACAAUGGGGGCAACCCUGAUCCAGCCAUGCCGCGUGAGUGAAGAAGGCCUUCGGGUUGUAAAGCUCUUUCGGACGGAACGAAAAGGUUAGCGUGAAUAACGCUGACUAAUGACGGUACCGUAAGAAGAAGCACCGGCUAACUACGUGCCAGCAGCCGCGGUAAU